UUUAAGUAUAACCUUAGACAUUUUAAAUUUUCCUAUGUAAUAUUUAUUUUCCUGAGGUUUAAGAGAAAGAGUCUUUUGUCAUUUUCUUCCUUUGAUUUGUAUUUGUAUUGAAAGUGCAUUUAGAAAUGUAGGUCUAUGAGGAUUUCUUUUCCCUAAUCAAAUGAAGUAUUAUGAACUUGAGAAAAAUGGAGAGUUUGCCUCAGACAGAGUUUGGAGGUUUAAGGAAACAGGUUUAAGGUUUAAUUUUCUCUGAGGAGAAAAAUGAGAGAGAGAAAAAGAGUGAAAGCGAGAGUGUGAGAGGGAGAGGAGAGGAGAGGACAUUUGGAGUGUCUAGAAGAAUUGUGAUGGCUGUGGGGGACGCUUCCAAAGGAGUUCGUGAAAAUGGCAAAGCAUAUUUUUCUUAUCCCCUCGUCUUCCACCAAUGACUUUUGUUCCUGAACGGGUUAUUGUUUCUAGUUCUGUUUACCAAGAAGAGUGGACUCUCAUUGCCAGUGCUCUCAAAGCAACGGGACAGCGAGCUGAAUCAGGAGCGUUUUGGCACCGGGGAUGUUACACUGGGAGGCUUGCUCUGAAGGAAAGCAGCUGCUGCGUUGUGAGCUGCCCUAUGGAGAGGUCCAUGUAUUAAGGAACUGAUAUCUCCAGUCAGUGGCCAAUGAGGACCUGAAAGCUGCCAAUAGCCAAAUGAGGAGUCUUCAUUCAAGGCGCUCAGACAUUAGAGAAGACUUGGAUUCAGGAAUAUCGAAAGGCAUAAUACAGGUUUGGCAUUUUCCUUAGAUUUUAAGCAGAUGACCAUAGUGUUGGAAAGAGCCAAUACUUAUUUCUUUGCUUUUGCCCUAUGCAACCUGAAGUUAGUUUUUGUUUUCCUCUCAUCCUUUUGACCAGUUUCCUUGGGAGAUCUCCGAGAACUCUCCUAGCAUUUCAUAUUUUAGCAUUUUAUUUUCAUAUUUUAUAAUUGUUCUUUUUCUAAGAGAGAGAUAUAUGUAUAUAUAUAAUAUGUUGACACACAAACACAUAUGGGGAGAGACAGCACAAUUUAUAUUUGAUUUUGUUGUGUAUGAGAAAACACAUUCAUAAAUAAUAUGCAGAGAUAGUCUAAGUUUGGAUGUUGGUUGAGAUCCCCAGGGAGAUGAACUCUGGUCCUUUCCUUUUGAAAUGUCCUAUUCCUGCCCAUCAGCAUUAACCUCCCAUUUUCAAAGGUCUUUCUUUCUUUACAUCUCUCCCACUAGGGGGCCUAGAGUUGAACACACACUUCAGGAGAGCUCUUUGUAUACUUGUCUUAUUCAUAAGCUUUGUACUGAAGAAAAAAAAAAAAAAAAAAAAAGGUAAAAGCUCAUCUGGUAAUUUGAAUCUUUUCAUCUUGAAGAAGUUAUAUAGUGAAAGUUCAAUAAGUGACACUGAAAUAUGUCUUCCUUUUAAGAAGUGUAACCACCUUUUUCAGAUUUCAGAAAUAAGGUCUAAUAUGCAUUCACAUAAAUCAUAAGAAACAUUCAUCUGUCUAUAGGAUGUGAUUCACAUUUAAAGUAAAACAUUCUGGAGUUCCCAUCAUGGUUCAGUGGAAAUGAAUCUGACUAGCAUCCAUGAGGAUGCAGGUUCGAUUCCAGGCCUU